AUACUACACAUCCUUGGACAGUUUUGUCCCUUCAGGCUUGCUUUGGUACCCUGUGUCAGUAGAAUCUUGCGUUUGUAUUCUGCACCUUUUCGUCAACAGUUAAGGUUCCGAGAUUCAUGUGUGUUAGUACCUGUAACUGGUUUGUUAAUUCUCACUACUGUGCUGUUUCUGAGGACAGUCGUAACACAGUGUAUCGGUUCUGGUUUUGUCGUGUUUUCCUCUUACAGACAAUGCGGCUGUGCCUGUUCCGGCGUUGCUGGAAGGCAGAGGACACAGGAUUUCUACCUUGACUAGGCGAUGCCAAGGGUUUUGGGUUUUUCCACGGGGUCUUACCAGCGUGCCCUCGCACUGGGGUGUGUUGACAGUUCCCCUUGCUCUGCAUCCCUGGCAACCGUGGAUAUAUUUGAUUUAGCCAUUCUGGCAGUAAGGAAAUGGUAUUUCAACGUGGUUUUAGUUUUGCAUUUCCCCAGUGAAGGUGAAGAUCUCUGUGUGUUUACAGGUCCAUUUGAGUUUCCUCUUCUGCAGAAGUUCAGGGGUUUUGCUUAUUUCUCUAUUAGAUUGUUUUAUUUUUAUUUUUGGCAUUGAAUUGUAGGCUUUCUUUAUAUAUUUUGGAUACUAAUCCUUUGGUUAUAUGUAUUGGAAAAUCCCAGAUCUGGCUUUCUUGUCACUCUCCUUAUGGGAUCAUUUGGUUAACUGAAGUUUGGAAGUUUAAUGUAGUUGAUUCUGUCACUCUUUUUCUUUUCUGGUUUGUGCUUUUUGCGUCUUAUUUCAGAAGUCUGUGUCUACUCGGAGGUCGUAAAUACCCUCUCCUGUUCUAGUUCCUGAAGGUUUGCCCGUGCGCUUUUCACACUCCCCAGCUUUGUUCCCCCUGGACUUGGAGCUGACAUCCUGCUUCCUGUCUCUACGAAUCUGACCGCUCUAGGGACCUCAUAUAAAUGUGCAGUAUGUGUCCUUUUGUGACCGGCUUGUUUCAUUUAGCCUGUUGUCCUCAAGGUUCAUCCAUGUUGUUGCGUGUGUCAGAGUUGCCUCUCUUUUCAAGGCUGAAUAAUAUUCCAUUGUGUGAAUGGGCCCGAUUUAGUUUAUCCUUCCUCUGUUGAUGAACACUUGGGUCGUUUCCGUCUUUUGGCUGUUGUGAAUAUUGCUUGUGGGAAUGUGGAUGUACAAGUACCUGUUUGAGUUUCUUCUUUCAGUUCUUUUGGGUGUGUACCCAGAGGUGGCAUUGCUGGCUCAUAUGACGUUUCUAUGUGUUUUUAAUUUUUUGAGGAAUGACCAUGCUGUUUUCCGUAGUGGCCACACUGUUUUUCAUUCCCACCAACAGUGCCCAGAGGUUUCAGUUUCUUCACAUCCUUGCCAACACUUGCUAUUCUCUGGUUUUUUGUAUUUUUGUUUUGGUAGUAGUUAUCCUAGUGGAUGUGAGGCGGUGUCAUUGGGUGUGAGCUGCACGUCCCUGAUGAUUAGAGAUGUCUCUGUGCGUGCGUCCUCGGCUGUGUGACACUCCAGUUCAGACCGACCGUGAGACGCCAUUGGGGGGCUUUUGGUUUUAUCCAUUGUGCUUUCCCACAAUCCCACAAUUCCCAGUUGGUCCCUUUCUGUAGUCCUUUCUUGUCAUUGAUCUCUUCUCCUGGAUGAGACUCUGUUGGACCUCCUCCACCUCCUGAGGGAUGGUGUCUUCAGUCCCUCAGACACACUCACACGUGUGGCUACUUUGCUGACUCAGCGUGGUGUCUGGGAGCCCUCAGAGGCAGGUCUGCAGACUGCUUUACCCCUGUGUAUCACUCUCCUGUUUCUUUGUCUGUCUGGUCAUUUUGUGGACACCUGGGCAGUUGAGGCUCCAGGUACUGGGCCCUCCUCCUCUGUGGCUUGUUUUUGUUUGCUCGUUUCUCUCUUUUCAGUGAGUUGGCUGGAUUGUGGAGGGGAAGUUUGUUUGUACCUGAAGAUGAACCUCUGACGGUCCUCAGAGGGUCUGCAUAGCCUCUCUGGGGUGACAGGCGCUAGCUGGGCUCUGUCAGGACCUUGCCCGGCGCUAGGCCCCACUCACUGCGGGCCGGUUGCUCUGUUGCUCUGACAGCGCCUGAGGUGUGCACUGUUCCAUGCCUCGAUCCGGUUAAACCUGGGCCCCUUUGCAGAGGCAGUUUUUGAGGCAAAUUUGUGGUUUGCUCUGACCCUAGAAGGAUUGUGCUUCGGUACGUCUUUCCUGGCUCUCUGAUAAACCAGCUGGCUCCCGGUUUAGCUUGUUGCUGGGAUGGGCCUUCCAGCCUCCUCUUAACUGCUCACCACUGAAACCCCCAUUGUUUUCAGGGCACUUGAACUUCCCACAGUCUGUUUCAAAUACCAUCAGCUCCUUUGGGUGGAGUUUUGGAGUUCUCUGCUCUUAUGGUUUACCUGCUGCCCUGGCCUUGCUCCAGCUCUGGGGCUGGGGGCAGUGACCCCUUGCUCUUGGAGUGACAUCCCUGCUUAUGAGCAGACUCUGGCUGGGACCUUAGCCUCCGGUUUUCUGGACUUCUCUCCCAGCCUAGACCCUCGCCCUGCGAGUGGGCCGGGGCCGGGGUGGUCAGGGCCCUGGUAUUUGCGCCUGCGGUAGAGGCUCUGAUUUAUGGGUGGGGGUGGGUGGAGGAAGGCGGCUUUUCCCUCAGAGCUGUGGGGACGCUGAGAAAUGUUGGUGGCCUGUCCCCGUGGGGCCGCACUGCCCUGGGUAGAGAAGGGAAGGUGCUCACACUGUCCCUGCUCUGACCAGUGUUGAGCAGAGCCUGUAGGGUAAGUGUGUCCUUAGACUCUAGGUGCCCUCAGUUCCCAGAGACUUUAAAUGACUGGUUUUGAAAAGCUUUCACCAGUUGCCAGGGAGGUCUGUCGAGCGCCUAGUGCCUCCAUCCUCUGGACUCUACCUUGAGGGCCUUGGGCCUCACAGAGUUCGAGUAGGUGUGAAAGUGGGCUCUAAAGGACAUCUCUGCCUGCAGGUUAAAGAGCAGGGGGGGACACCCCUGGAUGCAGGAGAACUCAGGUUGUAACGAAGUUCCAGUAGCAGGGAUUGCUGGCUCCAGGUGGCAGCUGUGGGGAACUGAAGAUGAGCUAGGUUAGCACAGAGGCUUGUUGAGACUCGGUAAGUGAGUGGGUGGGUGGGAGUCGGUGUGGGUAGGAAGAGGGUGCAGGAGCGGGAGGCUUCAGAGUGACUCGCAUCAGUGUUUGGCAGGUUCGCACCCAGGCCCGAUUUCACGUGUCUGACAAGUUAUCCUGGAGACACCCUGCUGCUGGUCCUCUGUCCCCUGCUUGGGUAGCAAGGACCUAGGGCUUCGUGUCCGGCAGCUGGUGAAUGAGGACAGGGUGGAAUUGUCAGCUUCCUCGUCUGUUUCCCUGCAGCGUGGGUAAAGGGCAGGGGUCGUGUCUUGUUCAUUGUCACGUCCUGAGUGUGUGGAACAAUGGACGACCCACAGCAGGUGUUGGAUGGAUAACUAUUUGUUGAAUGGUUUAAUGACGAUCGAAAGAAAAUGCAGAAAGAGAAAAAGGAAUGUGGAAAAAGGUUAAAGAACUCUUCUCUUCCUUGGGAGUCGAAUGUAAUAUCUUGGAACUUGAUCAAGUUGACAACGGGGCCAGCGUUCAGGAAGUGCUGUCGGAGAUCACUCAUCAGAACACCGUGCCCAACAUCUUUGUGAAUAAAGUGCACGUGGGUGGGUGUGACCGGACUUUCCAGGCACAUCAGAGCGGCUUACUGCAGAAGCUCCUUCAGGAAGACCCAGCCUAUGACUACGACCUCAUUGUCAUUGGCGGUGGCUCUGGCGGCCUUGCGUGUGCGCAGGAAGCUGCCGUUCUGGGGAGGAAGGUUAUGGUGCUGGACUUCGUGGCCCCGUCACCGCAGGGCACGUCGUGGGGCCUUGGUGGGACUUGUGUGAAUGUCGGCUGUGUCCCGAAGAAGCUGAUGCACCAGGCCGCCCUCCUGGGACAGGCGCUGACCGACUCGAGGAGGUUUGGCUGGGAGUUCAGUCAACAAGUGAAGCACAACUGGGGGACCCUGACCGAGGCCGUGCAGACCCACGUCGGCUCCCUGAACUGGGGCUGCAGGCUGUCGCUGAGGGAGAAGGCUGUGGCCUACGUCAACGCCCACGGAGAGUUUGUGGAGCACCAUAAGGUCAAGGCGACCAAUGGAAAAGGACAGAAAACGUGUUAUACUGCUGCCAAAUUUGUCAUAGCAACAGGGGAGAGGCCACGGUAUUUGGGAAUCCAGGGAGAUAAAGAAUACUGCAUUACGAGCGACGACCUCUUCUCCCUGCCCUACUGCCCGGGUGCCACCCUGGUGGUGGGCGCAUCCUACGUGGCCCUGGAGUGCGCCGGGUUCCUGGCCGGCCUGGGCCUGGAGGUCACGGUCAUGGUGCGCUCCGUCCUGCUGCGGGGCUUCGACCAGGAGAUGGCGGAGAGGCUGGGCUCCUCCCUGGAGCGGCUGGGCGUGCGCUUCCUGCGGAAGUUCGUGCCGGUGGCGGUGCUGCAGCUGGAGAAGGGCUCACCGGGAAGGCUGAAGGUGGUGGCCAGGUCCACGGAGGGCCCGGAGACGGUGGAGGGCGUCUAUAACACGGUUCUGCUGGCCAUCGGUCGUGACUCCUGUACGAAGGGAAUCGGGUUGGAGAAGAUUGGUGUCAAAAUCAAUGAGAAAAACGGCAGAAUUCCCGUGAACGACAUGGAACAGACCACCGUGCCCUACGUUUACGCCGUCGGGGACGUCCUGGAGGGUAAGCCCCAGCUCACCCCCGUGGCCAUGCAGGCGGGCAAGCUGCUGGCUCGAAGACUUUUUGGCGGCCGUUUAGAAAAGUGUGACUACGUGAACGUUCCGACCGUGGUGUUCACGCCGCUGGAGUACGGCUGCUGCGGGCUGUCCGAGGAGAGGGCCGCCCAGGAGUAUCAGAGGGAGAAUCUGGAAGUCUACCACACUGUGUUCUGGCCGCUCGAGUGGACGGUGGCCUGCAGAGACAACAAUGCUUGUUAUGCAAAGAUCAUCUGCAAUAAAUUGGACAACGAGCGGGUGAUAGGAUUUCACAUCCUUGGACCGAAUGCUGGUGAGAUCACCCAGGGAUUCGCGGCCGCGAUGAAAUGUGGGCUCACAAAACGGCUGCUGGAUGACACCGUUGGAAUCCACCCCACGUGCGCUGAGGUGUUCACGACCUUGGAGAUAACGAAGUCGUCGGGACUGGACAUCAUGCAGAAGGGCUGCUGAGGCUAAGCCGCCGCCCUCGGUCUCCUUGUCCUGCUCCCGCUCCCGCUGGCGGCUGGGCGGCCUGGUGGCCGGGCGCCCGGGGUGAGCGUGGGCAGGGAGACGGCGGUGGGUCCCCCACAGAGCCCGGCUGACCGGAGGGCAGCCACGCUGCCUCCUUGACGUCUCAGCUCGAAGCCCCUGCGGUGAGCCGAGGCCGACCUCUCCUCCGUCAGCUUCCCUCUUCUCCGUCAGGGAGACCUGGUCCCCGCGGGACGCUUCCCGACCGACGUUCCAGGUCGCUGGCUCUGGGAGAGGGCAGCUGCAAUGCCAUGGGGAGGCCCAGAUGGCGAGGAACUGAAAUCUCUGCCCAACAGCAGGAAGCUCGGGCUGCUGGCAUCUGUGCGGACAGGCCGGGAAGAGAAGCUUCUCCAGGAGCCUCCCUGCCCCCCUGACCCCUGGCCAGCAGCCUGCCUGCACGCCCUUAGAGACUUUGGGCCACUCUGAGUCCUGACCCUCAGAAACUAUGAGAUACUUACUUUUCAAGCCACUAAGUUUGGGGGUGAUUUUUCCACUGAUAGAUAAUAUGUUCACCAAGGAAAAUUAAAACUAGUACAGAUUCGAUCAGAUAACUGAAAGGUCCGAGGGACUCUUCCCUAGGGCUGAGAAAAUAAACCCCUGCCGAGCUGGGAUUUCAGCCAGAAGGCACUGGAGCUCAGGCUAGGCCUGAACUGCCUCAUCCUCGUAGAUACGGGGAGACCCAGGGGUCUCAGUAGGGGGCCUCUGGGUCAGUGUCUCGAGCUGUGGCCGUCCUGGGUCCCCGCUAUGCCCCCUUGGAGUGUCUGCGGUGGUCACAGCUCACGAGGGUCACUCAGAAACCCCUGUCUCGCUGAGCUGAGCUUGUUAAACGCUGCAAGGCAGGGCCUGGACCAGGCCUCAGCACCAGCUCAGGGGGAGUCAGGUGCUGUGGGGCUUGGACUGGGAUCUGUCAGGGCGGCUAGGUGGCAGAGGUGAGUGAGUCUGGGCAGCUGUUGGUCGGAAUGUGUCAGGCUGGUGGCUGGGGAGCGUCGGGGUCCCCAGAAUCUGGGAUGUCGGAGGCCACGCUGGGCUCCUGUACUGGGAUUGUCUCUUGGAAUGUGGAAGUCUGAUUGUGCUUGUGGUAGAACGGUUCCGGGUUCAAUCAUUUGUGCCGUGACUGCUUAGAGCAUUUUGUAUGUUUGUAUGUCCAGCUCUUCAAGGGGUGUCUGUUUUACUUCCCGGUGGAGAACUGCCCGUGUCGAGGCCAGGAGCGCAGGGGGCCUGCUCGGAAUUCGCUGCGCGAGAUCAUCAGGUGCCCAUGUGGCCUGCGCUCCUGCCUGCUAGAGUAGCGGACCUGACGCAGCGUCCGUCCGUAAACAAACUGGGGAAGCGGGAAACGACUGCCCUCGGACUGUGCGGCGCUUGGCCCCCAGGGGAAGGAGGAUGUGAGGUGACCCCUGCAGUCGCCCCAACUUUCUGCAUCAAAGUGGUUUUCAAACAGCAAGCAUGAGGGAGGAACAAACAGCCUGGCAUCUAGCUGAAUUGAGGUGCAGAUUGGAUGUUGGGGAGACACAGGUGGAGGGGGCUUUGCAGGAAAAGGCCCCUGAAACCUGCAGCAGACCCCCUCGAGUUGGCUGCAGACUCCACCACACAUCCUCAGAGUAAAAUCCUAGAAUGUCAGGCAACAAUGACAAGGAGUUACCAGCUGAACACUUGGUCUCAGAAGGUGAGGAGAAAUCCUGACUCUGACCACAGGGGGACCCUCAGUAAAGCCCCCGGACCUGAGUGGAAGCCCUGUAAGGAGUCAUGCUCUCGUGAUAGGGUUGGACCAGCCUUGGAGGCAAGUCUGCUUUGGACUCACACUAAUAACAGAGUCUGAAAUAGGCCUUAACGGGGCCAAGGUGACCCAGAAGUCCCAGCUGCGAAAGACACCAGAACCGUGCUGGUCAGCCUGGUAGCCGAGGUGGGGGCAGUGCAGUGGAGCAAGCAGUGAAAAGCAGACAGCGGAAGGGAAGAUGUGACCUGUCUUUAUUUGCAAAUAACGUGAUUGUGUACCCAGAAAAUCCUAAGAAAUCAACCAAAACACAAAACGAAGAAAAGACAAUAACUACUAGAACUUCUAAGUGAACUUAGGAAGUCGAAGAAUACAAAAUCAACAUACAAAUAUCCACUGAAAGAUGAAUAGAUAAAUUGCAGUGUAUUCAUAAAAUACCGUUCAACAGUGAAAAUGAAUGAACUGCUGACAUCCAAUGGCAUGGAUAAAUCUCAAGACCAUUUGGCUGCACAAAAGCUGGGCGAAAAACACACACUAUUGUGUAUAAAAUUCUAGAAAAGAGCAACGUGGUUGACAGUGACAGAAAGCAGCUCAGGGGUUUCCUGGGGCUGAGGGCUGGUCGUGGGGAAGGUACACAGGACUUCCUGGAGGAACAGAAAGUUCCAGAUCUUGUUUGUGGUGUGCCUAGAUGGUUGCAUGAUUCGUUAGUUCAUCAAUGAGCCGCAAGUCAAGAUGAAUGCUUGAAUGGGUGCGUUUUAUUAUGGGUAAAUUAUACUUCAGAAUCAACUUUUUUCAAUAAAUGAAACAUUUACUAAAGGGUAGGUGCUGACUGGGUGAGAUGAUGUGUGUCGAAAGAGGAACUGAGGGGGUCUCGAAUGUUCCCAGCUAAUGUGGCUGAGAAGAGGGGACUGAGGGAGGUGGAAUGCAGGUAGAGGGGUGAGUCUAGUCGUGCAUGUGUGUGUGCACAUGCAUAUCUUGGGUAGGCAUCUGUGAUAAUGGUCUCAGAAUUUGCGCAUAGGUAGACUGGUAAUUUUAUAAAGGCCGUUAAUUAAUGGACAGUGUGUGCCCUCAGCACUGACAGACCGCCCUGGGGUUCAGCUCCUCGCCGCAGGGUGGUGGGUUGCCAGGAACCGCGGCUGGGAAGAGAGGUGUAGGGUAGCGCCCCGCUCCACUGGCAGCUCCGUUUCUGCCCUUUGCACCACCCACUUUGUACUCCUGUGGGUUGAACCAGGUCACCCAGAUUUCUUUCCUUCCACUUCCCCCUAAAUGCAAAGAAGAGACAUGAUUGUCACAGUUUGAGGAACAGUAAGCUUGGUUUCACUUCUUCAUUGUGGCUUUUCCCGGAGGAAGCGUCCACCUCAGGGGGAUGCGGGAUGGGAGCUGGUACUGUUUGCGGGGUGUUGUAAGCCCUGGGUGAAAUCACUGCAGGAUGUUGCCAAUGCUGUGUGGUCCGGGUGGGCCUUGUAAGUAGGAGCCCUCAGCGUACCCACUCAUAGCAGACAUGCUGUGACUGUUACUCCAGAUUGCCUUCCGGAAACACGGUUUCCUCCCAUAUUUCCUCUGUGUGGUGUUAGUGACCACAGGCACCGUAUCACAGAUGCCAGCUCGAGAUGUGCACAUACGUGGUCCCUGCCCUGGAGUGCGUACAGCUGAGUGGGCAUGCCAGGUGCAGAUAAA